rnacentral:rRNA from 1 species
GACGAACGCUGGCGGCGUGCUUAACACAUGCAAGUCGAACGGAAAGGCCCUGCGUUUGUGGGGUGCUCGAAUGGCGAAAGGGUGAGGAACACGUGAGUAACCUGCCCUUGGCUUUGGGAUAACUUCAGGAAACUGGGGCUAAUAACGGAUAGGAGCUCCUGCUGCAUGGUGGGGGUUGGAAAGUUUCGGCGGUUGGGGAUGGACUCGCGGCUUAUCAGCUUGUUGGUGGGGUAGUGGCUUACCAAGGCUUUGACGGGUAGCCGGCCUGAGAGGGUGACCGGCCACAUUGGGACUGAGAUACGGCCCAGACUCCUACGGGAGGCAGCAGUGGGGAAUAUUGCACAAUGGGCGGAAGCCUGAUGCAGCGACGCCGCGUGCGGGAUGACGGCCUUCGGGUUGUAAACCGCUUUCGCCUGUGACGAAGCGUGAGUGACGGUAAUGGGUAAAGAAGCACCGGCUAACUACGUG